rnacentral:lncRNA from 1 species
AUUGAUACAGACGUCGUUGAGAUUCUUAAAAAAAGAAGAAGAAAAAAAAAAAAAUAUAUAUAUAUUUACGUGUGUGUAACUAAAUCGAUACUCUCUCAACGACUGUUAAAAUGACAGGAGGCCAAUACAAAUAUAAUUACUUUGCGUAAAUUUAGUAGUUUUAAACAGAACAAUCCGAAUUAAUUACGGAACAAAUAAAGAUAAUCCUUAAAGACAGAAUGGUAUUUUCUAAACAGGAAACGAUUCUUAGAAAUUCGCUCGAGAUAUCUCAUCAAUUGUUUUGGCAACAUCACCCUGGGGAAUGUUCUGUCCUACAUUCACAGCUAUUACAAAUGAUGUAUUGUCUCUCGUGUGUGUGUGUGUGUUUUCCUUAUUCCAGCGUACUUGAUGACGUAAGUCGGGUACUUACUCCCAUCUUUAGAAAAAUGCACAGUUCUCUGUUUUAAAUGCUCAAAAUUGAUUAAACGGCGAAAAAAAAAAAGAAAUAUUACUCAACGUCUCUUCCGCCUCUUACAAAUACUAAUUGAUAUCUUGGUUGUUUAUACUUUUGCUUAUUUUUGCGACCUUGGUCUUUUCUCUCUUUGUCCUUGCGAAUAUUUACGUUGACUGACGAAGGACUCAGCACAACCAGCGGGUCAUUUCCGCCUCAAGAUGUCGAGAUGAUGCUAGGUCAUCAUGUUCUUCACCAUUUAAACAAACAAUGUUUCUCUAAACGAAAGUUUUUUAAACGUGGCGCAAACUGUUUUGUCUGAAUUCCUACUGUUGAACAGAAACAUCCGCAUUAUUAUUAUCAUCACCAUUAUUUAUGUUCUAAAAGAGAUAUAAAUAAUGGUCCAGCAAUCGUUUUACGAUAAUUUUAUCAUCCCGGCUUACAAAACCAUCCAGAUGGCUUUAUGUAUCCAACAUAAAAUAAUAACGAGACGAAGAAUGCUUUCACCUGGUGUUAAAAGUGUGUUCGUUUAUUUACUGGGGAUUUCCGGUCCCGGAUUUCGCUUUAAAUUCCACCUUCCGAUUCGCAAUUAACGUUUAUAUAAAUGCGAAAAUUAUGCGACGGAAGCCAUUUUUCUGGUUGCGAGUUUAAAAAAAAAAAAAACUUGUUAUUAUUGCUUCUUAGGAAAGGGAGAUGAAAGGGUGUUUCGGGUUGGAAAUCGGAACGAUUUGCACGAAUAAUUAAGGAGUCUCGGUGCGUAAUUAAUCGUUAAUUGCAUGUGGAAAAUUCAUGUUGCACACAGACACACAAGAAAACGCGCCUGUAAAAUUUAUAUAGGGAGAAGCGUAAUUUAUAUCGUAGCUAAUUGACUUUUGGAAUAACCUCUGUCUUCGAAUCACAUACAAUAUCCAGCAGUUGGUGUCAAUUUACUUCCAUUUCCCAUCUCGCGCCCGUUCUUCCCUCUGGUUAGAGAGUGAGAACAUCCCGCUAGGUCAUUUUCGACUCUGACCCCAACUGCUGCAAUCUGAUAGACACGAAUGGGGGGUCGACUGCCAGUCUAGCCCCCAAGGUCUCUGAGAACAAGUGGAGAACCAGUUUUAGACAAUGUGCGCUGACCUUGGAGCGUCUUUGUACCGUUCUUGCUCCACUUCACCUUGAAGUCUGAUUUUGACAGGUAGGUUCGCUAAUUUCUUGAGGUUUUCUAUCACCUAAAGCGCCUACUUUCAUUGUCUCAUAUAAUUGCAACCUGGCGGAACCUCAUUAUAUUCCCUAUGGCGUUGUUGCGUAUCGUAUACUCUCGAAUUCCACGGACGAUUUAGAAGGCAGAACGGAAUUUCUGAUGCUUCACAGUUACAAACAGUUAUCGGCAUCCACCGUAGUAGCCCUAUCGAUAAUAAUGUCGGAAUUUGUCAGCUACAUCUAGAGUUAUCGAAAGAAUGCCUUAUUGUAAUUUACGUUACGAAAGAAUGCUUUAUCAUCAUCACCCGCAAACGGGAGUUAAUCAGUAGAAAACUUACCGAGGACACACACACACACACACACACACACACAUACACACAAUGCUUAAUAACCAUAGUUAGAAGUAUCUUAUCAGCUCGUUUAUUAGAUAAUUCCCUUUUGCAACACGUGAUAAACGUGUUAGAUUACUAGUACUUUUUAUUACGUAAGAUAAUUUUGCCAUUUUUCUGAUUCUUUUUUUUUUCCUCUUUCACCUUGACUCUUUCGAAUCCAAAAUAUCUGGAUGUAGACCUCUUUAAAAUUAGCGAUAAAAAGUUAUUUUUAAUCCUUAUCUCCUAUCGAGACCAGUUUAUUACUCCAAAAAAUCGGGUCGAUUAUUUCCAUAUUUAUAAAUUUGUGCAAAAAAAAAAAAAAGAAAAAAAAAACAUAAAAGGCGGUCGGAGGAACUCUGUCGCCAUGGUUUUAGAA